UCUUCAAAAGAAAUGAGGCAUAAUUCUCAAGUUAAUUAGAAAAAUUUUAAUGAAUUCAGAAAAUAUAGAACUGUGCAAUUCUUAAACACGAUGAUAACAUAAAACCUCAAAACCCUUUUUAGGCGUUAAGCCUAUACUUGAGGAAACAAAAUAAUAAUACCAAGCCACCAUAACAACAUAAUGAGAUCAAUUAAUAUUCACAUUCUCAUGAUAUUUCAAGCAUCCACAGAAGAACCAAAACAGAAGGUUGAACAUGAAAGUGAAGAAUUAAAAUUUUCUUAUAUAAAUAGACAACAUACUUUUUCUU